GUGGGGAAUAUUGGACAAUGGGGGAAACCCUGAUCCAGCGACGCCGCGUGGGUGAAGAAGGCCUGCGGGUUGUAAAGCCCUUUCGGUAGGGACGAAAACUCUUGCUCUAACAGAGCAGGAGCUUGACUUAACCUACAUAAGAAGCACCGGCUAACUCUGUGCCAGCAGCCGCGGUAAUACAGAGGGUGCGAGCGUUAAUCGGAAUUACUGGGCGUAAAGCGCACGUAGGCGGCUUUGCAAGUCGGGUGUGAAAUCCCCGGGCUCAACCUGGGAACUGCAUCCGAGACUGCAUUGCUAGAGUAUGGGAGAGGGAAGUGGAAUUUCCGGUGUAGCGGUGAAAUGCGUAGAUAUCGGAAGGAACAUCAGUGGCGAAGGCGACUUCCUGGACCAAUACUGACGCUCAGGUGCGAAAGCGUGGGGAGCAAACAGGAUUAGAUACCCUUGUAGUCC
rnacentral:rRNA from 1 species